CAGUACCCUCAAGCAAAGAGAACUUUAGUUUGAAACCCCGAAACCAGGUGAGCUACCCCGAGACAGCCUAUGUUAAUCUAGGGCCAACCCGUCUCUGUGGCAAAAGAGUGGGAAGAGCUCCGGGUAGAAGUGACAGACCUACCGAACCUGGUGAUAGCUGGUUGCCUGAGAAGUGGAUAGAAGUUCAGCCUCGUAUUACCCCAGACCAAAGAAUAUAUCACUAAGAUAAUUAGAGAUACAUACGAGAGUUAGUUAAAGGGGGUACAGCCCCUUUAACAAAGGAUACAACCUUUACAGGAGGAUAAAGAUCAUAAUAUAUAAAACAUACUGUUCUAGUGG
rnacentral:rRNA from 1 species